GAUGAACGCUGGCGGCGUGCCUAAUACAUGCAAGUAGAACGCUGAAGGAGGAGCUUGCUCUUCUGGAUGAGUUGCGAACGGGUGAGUAACGCGUAGGUAACCUGCCUUUUAGCGGGGGAUAACUAUUGGAAACGAUAGCUAAUACCGCAUUACAACAGUUAUUGCAUGAUAACUGUUUAAAAGUGUCAUCUUCUCCACUACCAGAUGGACCUUCCUUGUAUUAGCUAGUUGGUGAGGUAACGGCUCACCAAGGCGAAGAUACAUAGCCGAACAGAGAGGGUGAACGGCAAAACUGGGAAUGAGACAAGGCACAGAAUGAUAAGGGAGGCAGCAGUAGGGAAACUGCGGAAAUGGAGGGAAGACUGAACGAGCAACGACGAGUGAGUGAAGAAGGUUUUAGGAACGUAAAGCACUGUUGUAAGAGAAGAAAGAGAGUGAGAGUGGAAAGUUCACACAGUGACGGUAACUUACAAGAAAGGGACGGCUAACUACGUG
rnacentral:rRNA from 1 species